rnacentral:rRNA from 1 species
CACGUAGGGGGCGAGCGUUGUCCGGAAUUACUGGGCGUAAAGGGCGCGCAGGCUGUUAUGCGAGUCUGCUGUGAAAUGUACCGGCUCAACCGGUGCCUUGCGGCGGAUACUGCAUAGCUGGAGUACUGGAGAGGGAAGUGGAAUUCCCGGUGUAGCGGUGAAAUGCGUAGAUAUUACACAGAACACCGAUUGCGAAGGCAGCUUGCUGGGUCACUACUGACGCUGAUGCACGAAAGCGUGGGGAUCAAACA